AUAAAUCCACCUGCAUGGACUGGAAGUGACAUUAUCUACCAAUUAAAUUGUUUCUGACUUGAUGUCUGACUAGCAUGUGUGACUUUCUCAGUUCUGGCCUCUAUAAAGAGAUCCAGUGCAACCCUAUCAAGCCUAUAAUCUAGAUACUUUGCUUAAUACCUACACUUGUGAUUGGUACCCAACAUUGAAGAAGUACAAUCUUAUUUCUAGUGGUUCAAGAAUCCUAAAUCCAACAUGUCAUAUUAGUCAGAAAUCUAGGUAGAAAUCAUGUUACAGGAUAAGUUGCCCACAGUAUCCUGAGCUUCUGGUACAGGGCCUUUUUUAAGGAUUUUCCCGUGGGGGGGCAUUUUUUGAAAAGGGACCUUUCAGUGAGAUAAUAUAUUAGAGGGGAAUAUCAAUGGCUGAAGGCCACGUGUAUGGCCAAUAUGCCAUGCAUGAAUGGGGGGUCUGGGGGUGUACUCCCCCAGAAAAUGUUUGAAAUUUGAAUCCCGGAAAUGUCAUUUCCUACAUUCUGAGCAUCCAAAUUUGCUCCAAAAUUUAUCCCAACUAUAUUUGUAUUUGAAAUAAAUAAAGAAAAAACGCACAAAAAGUAAAAAAAAAAUAAAAUUAACCAUCAUUUAUCAUUACUUAUUAGAGGAGGAUAGCAAUGGUCACGUGUGUGGGGGUGUACCGCACAGAAAUUUUUUGAAAUUUGAAGCACCGAAAUGCCAUUUCCUGCAUUCUGAGCAUCCAAAUUUGCCCUACAAUUUAUACUAACUAUACUUGUAUUUGAAAUAAAAGAAGGAAAAAAUGCACAAAAAGUAAAAAAGAAUAUUAACCGUAAUUUAUCAUUACUUAUUCGAGGGAUAAUCCCCAGAAAAUUUUUGAAAUUUGAAACCCGGAAAUGCUAUUUCCUGCAUUCUGAGCAUCCAAAAAAUAAACUAUUAUUAACAAUAAUUUAUCAUUACUUAGUGGGGGAGAAACGUAACAAUUUAAAUCGAUUUUGUUAAACAAGGACAAAGGAUAAAGCCUAAAACUUACUUUCCGUUUAUCUAUUUGUUAAUCUUCGCUGGUUUGUUUGUAUAAUUUUAGGAAAAAGGGACUUUUUCUGG
rnacentral:lncRNA from 1 species